rnacentral:lncRNA from 1 species
UUUUUUGUGUACGAUUAGAUCUUUUUUCUGCUAAAGAGAUUGUAUUUUGGAUGAACUUGAAAAAAUGAUAAAUGUUUAUACAGUUCAUUAAAUCAAAACUUUUUAAACUAAGGGUUCAUAAAUUGAGGAAUACUUGUAAUAUAAUAUUCCAUAGUAUUCUGUUCUGAUCAACUGUUAUAUAGUCCAUAUUAUAUCUCUCUGAAAUGCAGCCAGGUAUCAGAAUAAAAUCUAUGUUCAACUCAAAAGCAUUGCUAGUCCUUAUCAGAAUUGGUUGGGCAUACUUAUCUGUGAAUUAUGUAUAAUGGGUUGAGAAUAGAGUUGAAACUCAAGUCAGGUCAAUCUGAGAAGCAUAAAUUUUCUCAUAAUAUAACAGAUGUCAUAAGCUUGAUCUGUUUUGUGUAUAAACUUGAGUUUUAUGUAAUAAUUACAUUGAACAUUAUUAAAUAUUGUACUUCAAUUAAUCAAGUUUUAUUACAUGGUUCAAUGAGUAAGGUAACAAGACCUCUCAUUGUGUAAAUUUUUUCAACUUGUACAUAUACACCCU